CCUACGGGAGGCAGCAGUGGGGAAUCUUGCGCAAUGGGGGAACCCUGACGCAGCAACGCCGCGUGGGUGAUGAAGGCCUUCGGGUCGUAAAGCCCUGUCAGGUGGGAAGAAACUUGUGGAUGUUAAUACCAUCCACACUUGACGGUACCACCGGAGGAAGCACCGGCUAACUCCGUGCCAGCAGCCGCGGUAAUACGGAGGGUGCAAGCGUUGUUCGGAAUUAUUGGGCGUAAAGCGCGUGUAGGUGGUUGGGCAAGUCAGAUGUGAAAGCCUUCUGCUUAACAGAAGAAGUGCAUUUGAAACUGCUCGGCUAGAGUACGGGAGAGGAGAGUGGAAUUCCCAGUGUAGAGGUGAAAUUCGUAGAUAUUGGGAGGAACACCCGUGGCGAAGGCGGCUCUCUGGACCACAACUGACGCUGAGGCGCGAAAGCUAGGGUAGCAAACGGGAUUAGAUACCCCGGUAGUCCUAGCCGUAAACGAUGGGCACUAGGUGUUGGAGGUAUCGACCCCUCCAGUGCUGCAGCUAACGCAUUAAGUGCCCCGCCUGGGGAGUACGGUCGCAAGACUAAAACUUAAAGGAAUUGACGG
rnacentral:rRNA from 1 species